GAGGACCCUCGUACAAAUUCUCAACACGGUACUUUUGAGCUGUUGACGGAGAUGGAAGGUGAAAAAUCAUCAUUUCCAAUAAAGCAGUGCUAGCUGGUAACCAGGUCUGCAUAACACGCUUCAUCAGAGCCUUCCCCAUCAGGUCCUUCUCAUCACUCUUCAUGGUGACACCAAGCUUUGUCAACAUGGGCCACAACUUAUCCUUCUGAUCAUUCAUGCAGGUGUUGAUGAUCUGCUUGAUGGGUUCGUAACAGAACUGAACAAAACCACGCUUGCAGGUAGCAGUGCCGGUGCUCUUGCUGGUCCAUUUCUUCGUAGCUGGGUCAAAAAAGUUCUCACCCCAGAGCCUUUCCAUCAUCUUUGACUCAUCAACUCCAAACUUGGAAGCAUACAUCUUAGCGAAGUUGGUCAGAGUGAAAGCCCAACCGUGCAAACCAGCUGAGAAGGCGACUGUUCCUUUCUCUGGGUACACUUGGACAUCACCAAGAAGUGGAUCUUCAUAUGUAGCCAUAAUGACAUUAGCAUUCUCAAUAACCCUUUGGAAUGUCUGGUAAGCUUCCUCUCCAUCAACCUGGAGCUCAAGGAAGCAUCUGUCCAUCUUGUUAACGGUCAAAACAGGCCUGAUCCUCUCUCCCAAUGCUUGACGGAGCACAGUCUCAGUCUGGACACACACACCCUCAAUACAAUCCACCACCACAAGUGCUCCAUCAGUAAUACGCAGAGCAGCUGUGACUUCAGAUGAAAAGUCAACGUGCCCGGGGGAAUCAAUGAGAUUGAUGAGGUACUCAUUUCCGUUCCUCUCUCCCUUGUACCUCUGCAAAGACUCAUCAGUCAUCUCAUAGUACAGAGAGAUACCGGUAGAUUUAAUUGUGAUACCACGCUCUGCCUCAUCUGCGCGAGUAUCAGUCAUCCGAACAUCACCAGCAACUUCUUGUGCAAUGAUACCCGCAGCAGCAACAAGCGAGUCUGUAAGAGUUGACUUCCCUGCAUAUCAAAUUUCAAAAACAUUAUAUGUUUUGAGGAAACACCAUAGGACAUAAACAAAUAAAUGGAUAAAACGCAACUAUACAUAUUAACUGGUGAAAUAUUUCAAAUUAUAACCAAUAGAGAAAAGUUCAAAAUACUGAAAAAAAAUACACUUGACCAAAAUAUUACAACAUUAAAAAUUUUCUUUAACCAGGUUAAUAAAAACACCUUGUAACAAAGACAAGAAUUAUCAAGUGAAAAUAAAAAAGAUCUAUACCGUGAUCAACAUGAGCAAUAACAGACAUAUUGCGAAUGUUGUGCUUGUAGUCCAUAAUCCUACGGAGUUCUUCUGCUGUAAACUUCACCUGCAAUAUCAAGAAUAUCACACCAUUGUGAAUUAAGGAAUCAAUGGAGCAGCUCAGGAAUCACUAUGUAACCAUGUUCAGAUUGAUAGUCAGUGUUUACCAUCUUGACUAGUCUUUAAGAACAACCGGCAAUUAGUUUUUAUAAGAAGCUGAUUAACCGACAAGGAAACACCUGCAAAUUUAAACAACAAAAAAAUGAACUGGAAUUCAACUUGGAAUAUAAACAUUUAAAAUGACUAGAAAAUGACACACCAAUACAUUUCUAUGUUUAAAAAAUGACCAGAAAAAAAAAAUAGCAAUUUGUAUUCCACCAAAAGACUAUUGAAUUCCGGUAAAAGGAAUACAUAAUUUUUACUGUAUCAAGCAAUCUUAAUAAUCAAGACAAGUUAUUCGGUAAACGGUCUUGACAAAAGAAAAGGUAAUCACAAAUCAUUCCUUAUCAAUUAGGAUGAUCCUAUUAAUUUAGGGCCACCAAUAACAACAAAAUAGAAAACAAGUACGCAUAAUAAUUCUCUCUUACAAAUUAGUAUAUUUUAGAACGAAAAUUAUUCUGGAAAAUAUUUUUAUAUUAUUUCUUUGACAUGAAUAGGAAACAAAAUGUUCUGAAAAAAUUACUCAUAAAUUCAAACGAAACCUUAAUUUUCGAAAAUCUUUCCACUAAAAAAAUUGCUCAACGAAACUAUUUUCCAGCAAAACAACAGAGUAUUAGUACGAUCAAAGUAGAAAACAAGAUCUAGCAAAUACAAAACAUCUAGGGUAGUGCUAACCACACACCCACUUUACUUUUCACACACACUCAACUUUCUGCUGUAGGAUAAAAUGAAUUGAAGAAGAUCAAUGGCUAAAAACUAAAAAUGGAUGUGUGAACAAUUUACAAAUACUAGCGAAAUUAUCAUAUAUCACGUAAAAAUUAUCAAAAACGUCAGAAAAUUAUUCCACAGCAAAAAAAAUUUCACGUAAAAAUUUUCCGAUGAACCAACCAGAGCCUGAGAGAGUGAUCUGUACGGAAAACAAGGAUCUAAUACAAACACAUUUCACACAAACAUAUAUACACACACAAUGCAUCCGUAAAACCUGAGCAACGAUCGAAACGAUAAACGAGCAAAGACAUAAUACCAAACCAAAAGCAUGCAUAACAAUAAUAUAUUUCCAACAAUACAAAAUGCAUGCAGAUCACAGAUUUUUCAGAACAACAAAAUGCAUGAUUAACGACGAUAAUCAAGAAAUCACGAGGAUAAUCGGGGGGAUUAAAUCAAAGGAAGCGACUGAUUCGAAUAGCAUAGAAUUAGAGGAACGAACCUGAAGGAUCGGGAGAUGGAGAGCGAGGGAGGGAUGGAGAGAGGAGUGACUCUCCGCAGCCUAGAGCUAGUGGUGCAAAUGGGACUGAGAGAAUGUGUGGAGCCCGGAGGAGGGUGUGAGUGUUAUAUAAGGUUAGGGUUUUCGUUUCUUGGGUUGGGCUCCGCUUUCAUAGUUUAUACUAUUUUCUAGGCCCACCAAAAUCUCCAUCGGCCUUUUUUUAUUCUAAAAUCAUGGGCCUUAGGGCUUUUUAUUUAUUUUUUAUUUUUAACAACAUUAUAUAAUUAUGGAUAAUGAUGGGAAGAUCAAAUUUGAAAAUCAAAUAAAUAGAAAAUUAGCACGUUAAUUAAUAUUUCAAUAAUAAUUCAAUUACAUUUCAUAAUCAUAAAAGUCGACUAAGUGCAAAAAGACGGCCACACAUGACCUUUGCCAAUCGACCUAUUCCACAGUUGUAUGACCUAGGUUAAGAAGGUCAAAGCUUCUUGUUAGACACUCAAAACUCAAAACUUCAAAUUCUUGUUUAUUAAUUAAACAAAAAAUAUUGAGAAAAGUUAUUAGCAUUUUAGUAUGGCAUGUUUUUCUUUGAUUGUAAGUGAGAGAAAAGUGAGAAGUGGAAAUGAAUACAACUACACUGUCGUGCUAAGCAGCCUCCAAUAUUCGUAAGGUAGGCAUAAACUUCUUCGUCUAAUAAACGUUUUCUAAAUAUGAGCCUAGGGUUUAUUUACAAGAUAUACAUAUAUUCUAACCAAUUCACUUAACCCAACCCACACUUGCAAAGAUAGCCUAGAUUUAAAAAGCCUUAGCUCCCCCAAACACUUCUACUUUGGACACCAAACCCCAACUCUCUUUUUUUCAUUUUUGUAGCCAAAACUAUAGUAUCUACAUGUAACAACAUUGAUAUCAAGUCGAUGAAUUGUAUAGCAUGAAUUUUAAAGGGUGUUUGUUUGCCCUCACUAAGCUUCACUAGAUUGGAUUGGCUUAGCUGGAAUUUCUAAUUCGUGUUUGGUUGGAACAAGGAUUAAGUAUAAUGGGACUAAGUCGGAUUCGUGCCAACUAAGUCCUUCACUCCCAGUUCUUAGCUAGGUUGCCCGAAACAUAUGGGAUUGCUAAUCCCGUCUCUAAAGCUGUGUACAAAGUCUGCACGCUGCAUCAUCUACACGCUGCAAGUCAUCUGCAAUCAUGCUUCUUUGCAACUCUGUUUGGCCACCUAUGCCCAGAUCUGAAACCCACCACACCCACUGCCUAAUUCUCAACAUCCAACUACCAAAAUUCGAAAAGAAAAAAAGUCAAUUCGAUAACAACAACAAACUCAAUAGAAAAAUUCUUCAUUUUUCCUAGAAAAUUAAGAGAAUUUUUGAGACAAUCAAAGGAGUGGCGAGAAAUAGAGUGGUCGUGAAAUCCAUGACGCAGCAGAGGGGUGCCUCUGCACGAUUUCAAUUCUCCGUGGGAUAUGAAGUUGGGAAACCAGAAUCUGUGGUGCCAGAAAUAGUUUAGAGGAAUCACAACAGCAAAGAAAAGGAAAGGGAAAAAAAGAGAACAAAACGGGGGUGAUGAAUGACGUUGAGUGAGGAGAGAGUGGAAAGGAAAAGAAAAAGACGAAGAGAGUGGAAAGGAAAAAUAAGAAAAAAAUGUGGAAAGAAAAAAAUGUGAAGAAAAAAAUGACGAAAUUAUUUGAUUUUCCAAAAUAAUGUAGUCCGUAACUUAGUCCGAUAUUGCAUCAACCGCUCCAUUAUUCUUAUCCUACUUAGUCCAUGCCUAGCCAAUCUAACUUAAUCUUUAAAGCUAAUCUAGUCCGAAAUAAUCCAAUACAACAAACGCACCCAAUCCCAUAUUGAUGCAGGCCAACCAAAUUCAUAAACUAGCACAAUUAAGAAUACAAAGCCGCUGGUUCCACAACUUACAAAACCUGAAUCAAACACGAGCUAGAGCGGUUUUCGGCACCUGUGCAGCCACUCGUAUUGGCGGCGCGCGAGCCGAGCAUUGCAACCACCACCUUCGAGGCGUUUUCCCAUCUCUAAUGAAAUAGUAGCAGAAGAAGCUGUUGCAGGUCUUCAAGUUAGAAAGAACAAACAUCAAUCAAAUACAUGAAACAAAGUAGACAAAAGUAUAGUAAAUUCAAAAAGCGUGUAGCAACAAUGGCAGAAAUUGUUCCACAAGCAACAAGGUAAAAGCAGAACAUUAUAAAGGUCUCUGUUCUGAGCACGCACAAAACAUUUAACUACUGGCACCCAGAUGCUGACUACAGCAACAAUGUUAACAACAUUAAACAAAAACGAUUAAACUGGAAACCAAAAAAUUAACGCAGUGCAUCGAAAACAAAUUAUUACUCAAAGCUUGUCCUCAAACUCGGAUAGUGGGGUCAUCUGCUCCUUCAAUCCCUUCCUCUUACGGAUGUCGGUAACAAGUGCUGCAGCCUGGGAUCCAGCUUCCAAUGGAUCAGACGACAUCAUCUCCCAAUGAUCAAACACACAUUGUGGGAAAGCCUGUCCAGAAGUUGCAGCCCUCAGUUGACCAGAGAAUCCAAAGGACUCGACAACGGGGAGGUAUGCCUUGAUGUUGUAAAGUGGAGUUCCCGGCCUCUGCAUCUCCUCAAACACGUGUCCACGUUUCUGAUUCAGAACACUGUAUAUACCUCCAAGAGCCCCCUCUGGAGCUUGAAUUUCAACAAGAUACACUGGUUCGAGAAGCCUUGGCUUGGCUGUGAGCUGAGAGGCAUAGAUGACCCUCCGAGCAGUUGGAAUGACCUGACCUCCCCCUCUGUGGAUGGCAUCAGCGUGAAGAACCACAUCACAAACUUCAAAGCAAAUACCUCUCAUGUUUUCUUCUGCCAAUGCACCUUCCUUUGAGGCCCACUGGAACCCAGCAACAACUGAAUCCUUGAUUUCAUUAAGGUACUGGACUCCCUUACACAUGUCGACCACCAUGUUAGGACCAGUGGUCUCGGGACCAAAACACCAGAUUUUCUUAGCAAGAUCCUUGUCCCAACCAAACUCCUCAGCCAAGAUCUUGGAACGAAUCUUGGGAUCAUCUCUUGGGCCAAUGCGACCUUCAUCAAUAGCCUCAGGAAGCCCUUCCUCAAGGGGCCUUGCUUCCAUGUACAGACGGUUAUGCUUGUUUGGAGACUUGCUCAUCACUGUACGGCAGGACUUAUCAAGGACAGUCUCACGGAAGGACACAACAGGGUCAGACUUUAUAAUCUCAGCACCACCCAUAAAAUCAUCUUGCAGAUCCUUCAAACAGAUCUCAAGAUGCAGUUCACCAGCACCAGCAAUAAUGUGCUCUCCCGACUCCUCAAUGGAGCAGACAACCAUAGGAUCAGACUUGGCCAAACGCUUGAGACCUUCAACAAGUUUGGGAAGGUCAGAUGCAACCUUGCACUGGACAGCAACACGCACGACGGGUGAAACUGAGAACUUCAUAGCACGAAUAGGGUGAGCAUCCACUUCCUUCUCAUUUGUUAAAGUAGCAUUCUUGGUGAUAAACUGAUCCAAACCGACCAAGGCAACAGUGUUACCGCAAGGAACAUCCUCAACAGUUUCUUGUCUCUUUCCCAUCCAAAUAACAGUCCUCUGUACAUUCUUGACAUACAAAUCCUUCUUCUCUCCAGGAACAAAAUUUGGACCCAUGAUUCUAACCUUCAAACCUGUCUGAACUUUACCAGCAAAGACACGGCCAAAGGCAAAGAAUCUACCCUUAUCAGAAGCGGGAAUCAUCUUAGACACAUAGAGCAUAAGAGGUCCUUCGGGGUCACAGUUCCUGAUGGCAUUAGCAUAUUGAUCAUCAAGGGGACCCUCAUACAAAUUCUCAACACGGUACCUUUGAGCCGUGGAAGGAGAUGGAAGGUGAAAGAUCAUCAUUUCCAAUAGAGCAGUGCUAGCUGGUAGCCAGGUCUGCAUAACACGCUUCAUCAAUGCCUUCCCCAUCAGGUCCUUCUCAUCACUCUUCAUGGUGACACCAAGCUUUGUCAACAUGGGCCACAACUUAUCCUUCUGAUCAUUCAUGCACGUGUUGAUGAUCUGCUUGAUGGGCUCAUAACAGAACUGAACGAAACCACGCUUGCAG
rnacentral:lncRNA from 1 species